GACCGUGUGCCCGAGUGGUCUAGGGGCUCGCCUGCAAAGCGAGUUACGUGGGUUCGAAUCCCGCCGCGGUCUCCA
rnacentral:tRNA from 1 species